CCAUGUGUUAGAGUUGUGUCGAAUAUUAUUGUACAAGUUAGGUUAUAGUUGGACUUAGAGUCGUAUGGUGUGUAGACAUGAUAUGGAGCCGUGUCCAAGUAGGACACUUGUAUCCUAGGCCUCUCAUAUAUAGCGGGGAUAGACACAUGAUGUAACAUAUGCCAACAUAAUAGCACAGGCACGCGGGGGAACCGGCGGUGUGUGCCGGUGCCCGAGCGGCGGGGUGCAGUAUUGUAGCGGUAUCACGAGGAGGAGCGCCCGUAGUCAAGCCCCGGGGAUGUAGCCAUAUCGGUGAACCUCGUUAACAAAUCUCGAUGUCUUGUUCGUGUGAUUGCUUGGUCCUCGGUAGAUGGACGGAAUGCCUCGGAUUAAUUCUAACACCAUGCCAUGAUGAUGUGCAGGUUGCCUUAGCUUUAACAUUAAACCGUCCCACUAUGUUUGCUAUGUUUUAUUAUCUGCAUAGUUUCCUUUUUUGCUUUGAUGGAAGAGUGAUUAGUUUGCUCGCUGAAUCAGGUCAUCUUUGCUGACAGGACGGACAUUCAUGGAUGGAAGCACAAGCGAGCUAUCAUGUGAUGGGCCCUUAAGAGAUCCAUAUGCUGUCUUCUGUCGGGUCAGUUGCCUGUACUAAAAUGCAGAACUGGCUCUGAUGGGCCCCAUGUUUGAGGUUGAGACUUGAGAGCCUGGGCCAUCAAGUAGCGUUCUCCCAUGCAUUGAUGGCUCUCCUCCCUUGAAACGUGUCGAUGCAGGGAGGGCACACCUGGGCACAGUGGGCUCUGCUCCUGGGUGAAGUUCUCAAGGUCAUAUGGCUGUUUGUUACUCCCUCCAUUCCACAAUAUAGUGCUUCCUCUAUCCCCGUGCUUCAACUUUGACCGUAAAUUUAACUAUCAAGACCGAUUGCGGCGGGAGCAAAAAAUAUAUCAGUGAAUUCGUAUUCGAAAGAAGUUUUCAAUUAUAUAAUUUUUUCUUCCGCCGCAGUUGGUCUCAUUGGUUAAAUUUAUGGUCAAAAUUGGACCUCGGGAAGCGCCGGCGCACUAUAUUUUGGAAUGGAGGGAGUACUAGAAGACUUCCCAAUUCUGGAAUGUGUAGGAUCUUCGUUAUUGAUUAGUGUGUGUUGAUUCAUGGGAAUCAUUAGG
rnacentral:lncRNA from 1 species